AUGGAGCAAGCACUCAUCCAGGCUACAACAAAUCGUCUACAUACAGGGGUGUUUGGGAAAACCGAAACUAUUCCAAAUCAUUUCCAAAUGAGUAUCUACACACAACACCACUGGCUACAGCUCUGUGUUCCCCUAUAGGUGACACUAUGUCUCUGCCACAGAUGGACCUUCGACUACCAGAAGUAAUCACAUUGGCUAGCCUUAAGCCAGGAGCCCUUGGUGUCUGUGUGUAUAAUAAUGGCACAACCCUUCUGGGGACUGUCCCAUGGAACCUGUGUAACAAAAUCUAUACUUUCUGUGACAAGAAGGCAGACUUUUUCAACUGUGAUGACUGCCAAGCGACGAACCACAUCAGUACUGCCUGUUCCAAAAGAUGGAAGUCUGACCGCAACUGUACCAGCUAUAACCUUGUGCAGCACCAUUGUUCCAGGGAACAGAGGAUCCAGGACAAUGGCAGACUGUGACUUUCCUGAAAAGGUCCAGGAUGCUCACAGCCAUGGACGCUACCGCACUAGGAGAGACGUCAUGCCGAAAGUCCAAAGGUGGGGACGCUGUACUA